AAAGACAAAACAACAGCGUCCCAGAUUCCUAACCCCUGAUGAGAGGACUUCUCCAGAAACCACAGAAGGCUGAAGAAUUCACACAGACAAGCACAUCCCAGUGACUCUCAGAUAGGAGUUCAGCUCCAGGCUAGCAAAC
rfam:Pongo abelii BAC clone CH276-248H10 from chromosome unknown, complete sequence.